UAUUAUGCGUUACUUUUCUUUAAUAAUUUGAAAUUAUGGUAUUUUAAAAAAUAUGUUUCUCUACUUCUUUUAUUUUGAAGGGGGAGAAGGUGACCUCAGUGAGCUGGAUAUUGUCCUGCAAAAAAUGGGGAUAGAGGCCUCCCCUACAGACCACUUGGAGCUAGAGAAGUUACAUCCAAUUAAUGCUACAGCUAGUCGAAAAUAUAUAAGAAUAGAUUGCUGACUUGUGCAGAAGAUAUAAAAGGGUUGCAGGUUGAUGACCAUGACCUUCACUCUAUUCUUGAAAACAUGGCAAUCAAACCUACAGUUGAGGAGCUUAAUGAUCUUACUCCCAAUCUACCAGUUGAUGCUAAUGGGAAGUUUGGUGUCAGUAUCUUAACAGAUGGAAUGGAUGGAGUAAAAGCUAUCACAGGUAACACCUUAGAGUCAUUAUUGAUUAUAUUCCCUAUACUAUGCUUUUUAUCCCUGUGACUUAUUUUCUUUAUAACUGGAAGCUUGUGCCUCUUAAUCUUCUUCACCUGUUUCACCUAUCCUCCACCCACCUCUACUCAGGCAACCACCAGUUCUCUAUAUUUAUGAGUUUGUUAUUUGCUUUGUUUUUUUACAUUCCAUAUGUAAGCAAAAUAUAGCAUUUGUAUUUCUCUGUCUCACUUUUCCCCUUAGCAUAAUACCAUCUGUGUUGUCAUUAAUGACAAGAUUUUGUUAAUUUUUAUGGCUGAGUAGUAUUCCAGUGUGUGUGUGUGUGUGUGUGUGUGUGUGUGUAUUCAUUCAUUAUCUUCUUUAUCCAUUCAUCUACCAAUGGACAUUUAGGUGCUUCCAUUUCUUGGCUAUUAUAAGUAAUGCUACAAUAAUCAUAGUGGCACUUAUAUCUUUUCAAGUUAGUGUUUUCUUAUUUUUUCUCAUAAAUACCCAGAAGUGGAAUUACUAGAUCAAAUGGUACUUCUAUUUUUAGUUUUUGGAGGAACUUCCCUACAUUUCCCAGAGUGGCUGCAUCAAUUUACAUUUCCACCAGUAGUACACAAGAGCUCCCUUUUCUCCUCAUCUACACCAACACUUACUAUUUCUUAUCUUUUUUUAAUCUAGCCAUUCUGAUUGGCAUGAAGUGAUAACUCAUUUUGGCUUUGAUUUGCAUUUCCCUGAUAAUGAGAGAUGCUGAGCAUCUUUUCAUGUGUCUGUUGGCCAUCUGUAUGUCUUUUUUUUGAAAAGUAUCUAUUCAAGUCCUCUGCCCAUUUUUAAAUCAGACUAUUUGUUUGGCCUGGUUUUUGUUUGUAUAUUUGUUUUUUUUUGUUUUUUUUUUUAAUUUAUUUUUUAUUGGUGUUCAAUUUACUAACAUACAGAAUAACCCCCAGUGCCCGUCACCCAUUCACUCCCACCCCCCGCCCUCCUCCCCUUCCACCACCCCUAGUUCGUUUCCCAGAGUUAGCAGUCUUUACGUUCUGUCUCCCUUUCUGACACUUCCCACACAUUUCUUCUCCCUUCCCUUAUAUUCCCUUUCACUAUUAUUUAUAUUCCCCAAAUGAAUGAGAACAUAUAAUGUUUGUCCUUCUCCGACUGACUUACUUCACUCAGCAUAAUACCCUCCAGUUCCAUCCACGUUGAAGCAAAUGGUGGGUAUUUGUCAUUUCUAAUAGCUGAGUAAUAUUCCAUUGUAUACAUAAACCACAUCUUCUUUAUCCAUUCAUCUUUCGUUGGACACCGAGGCUCCUUCCACAGUUUGGCUAUCGUGGCCAUUGCUGCUAUAAACAUCGGGGUGCAGGUGUCCUGGCAUUUCAUUGCAUUUGUAUCUUUGGGGUAAAUCCCCAACAGUGCAAUUGCUGGGUCAUAGGGCAGGUAUAUUUUUAAUUGUUUGUAUAUUUGUUUUGGUGUUCGGUUGAAUGAGUUCUUUAUAUAUUUUGGAUUUUAACCCCUUAUUAGAUACAUAAUUUACAAGUAUCUUCUCCCAUUCAUUAGGUUGUCUUCACGUCUUGUUGAUGGUCUCCUUUGCUGUGCAAUGAAGGUCUUUAAAGAUGAAAAAAGACAUAAAAUAUUAAAUUUUGAUACUUGCCACCUUUCAAAUAUUUUGAUAGCACAUUUAUGCUUCUUUUAAUCCAUCUGUACUUUUG
rnacentral:lncRNA from 1 species